rnacentral:tRNA from 1 species
AGCCCCGUCGUCUAGCGGUCAAAAUCUCCGCAAAAGGAUGUCUGCCUCUGGAGCAGAAGACGGCAGUUCGAAUCUGCCCGGGGCUA